rnacentral:lncRNA from 1 species
AGUGAAAACUUGACUCUCGUAUUGACUCCCCAGAUGGACACACAGGUGAUCGAGGUUAUGGUCUCAUCACCACGAGGUAUUGUGUCCAUCUCCCCUGGGGAUCGAGUAGAUCAGGUGUUGACUUGGGCGAGAAGGUCUGUUUGUGUUUCCACAGGACCAGACAGAACCUCUUUGGGUGCCGGAAAGAUUGGUGAGACGCUGCAAGAAUAAGGCUCCUGAUCCAGUUGCCCCUGUGGAUAUGGUGGAUGAUCCCACAAGCACAAAGGAUGGAGCCGAGAUGAGAGAUCCUUUCGGUAUUCCAGAAGCCGAUACCAGCUCGACA